rnacentral:rRNA from 1 species
CCUACGGGAGGCAGCAGUGGGGAAUAUUGCACAAUGGGCGCAAGCCUGAUGCAGCGACGCCGCGUGAGGGAUGACGGCCUUCGGGUUGUAAACCUCUUUCAGUAGGGAAGAAGCGAAAGUGACGGUACCUGCAGAAGAAGCGCCGGCUAACUACGUGCCAGCAGCCGCGGUAAUACGUAGGGCGCAAGCGUUAUCCGGAAUUAUUGGGCGUAAAGAGCUCGUAGGCGGUUUGUCGCGUCUGCUGUGAAAGACCGGGGCUCAACUCCGGUUCUGCAGUGGGUACGGGCAGACUAGAGUGCAGUAGGGGAGACUGGAAUUCCUGGUGUAGCGGUGAAAUGCGCAGAUAUCAGGAGGAACACCGAUGGCGAAGGCAGGUCUCUGGGCUGUAACUGACGCUGAGGAGCGAAAGCAUGGGGAGCGAACAGGAUUAGAUACCCUGGUAGUCCAUGCCGUAAACGUUGGGCACUAGGUGUGGGGGACAUUCCACGUUUUCCGCGCCGUAGCUAACGCAUUAAGUGCCCCGCCUGGGGAGUACGGCCGCAAGGCUAAAACUUAAAGGAAUUGACGG